UGACGUAGGGGGCGAGCGUUGUCCGGAGUACUGGGACGUAAAGCGCACGCAGGCGGUCUGCUAAGUUUGGAGUGACAGUUGGUGGCUUAACUGCCAAAGUGCUUCGAAAACUGACAGACUUGAGGGCUUCAGAGGGACACGGAAUUCCGGGUGGAGUGGUGAAAUGCGUAGAGAUCCGGAGGAACACCAAAGGCGAAGGCAGUGUCCUGGGGAGUACCUGACGCUCGAGGUGACGGAAAGCCAGGGAGCGAACGGG
rnacentral:rRNA from 1 species